GGAGAUGUAGCUCAGAUGGUAGAGCGUUCGCUUUACAAGCAAGAGAUACGGGGAUCGAUACUCUGCAUUUUUA
rfam:Jatropha curcas cultivar GZQX0401 scaffold907_61, whole genome shotgun sequence.